rnacentral:rRNA from 1 species
UACAGAGGGUGCGAGCGUUACUCGGAAUUACUGGGCGUAAAGCGCACGUAGGCGGCUUGGUAUGUUGGGUGUGAAAUCCCCGGGCUCAACCUGGGAACUGCAUCCGAAACUGCCUUGCUCGAGUAUGGGAGAGGGAAGUGGAAUUUCCGGUGUAGCGGUGAAAUGCGUAGAUAUCGGAAGGAACAUCAGUGGCGAAGGCGACUUCCUGGACCAAUACUGACGCUCAGGUGCGAAAGCGUGGGGAGCAAACAGG